rnacentral:rRNA from 1 species
CCUACGGGUGGCAGCAGUGGGGAAUAUUGGGCAAUGGGCGCAAGCCUGACCCAGCAACGCCGCGUUAAGGAAGAAGGCUUUCGGGUUGUAAACUUCUUUUCUCAGGGACGAAGCAAGUGACGGUACCUGCGGAAUAAGCCACGGCUAACUACGUGCCAGCAGCCGCGGUAAUACGUGAGUGGCAAGCGUUAUCCGGCUUUACUGGGUGUAAAGGGCGUGUAGGCGGGACUGCAAGUCAGAUGUGAAAACCACGGGCUCAACCUGUGGCCUGCAUUUGAAACUGUAGUUCUUGAGUACUGGAGAGGCAGACGGAAUUCGUAGUGUAGCGGUGAAAUGCGUAGAUAUUAGGAGGAACACCAGUGGCGAAGGCGGUAUGCUGGACCGCAACUGACGCUGAGGCGCGAAAGCGUGGGGAUCAAACAGGAUUAGAUACCCUUGUAGUC